rnacentral:rRNA from 1 species
UACGUAGGGUGCAAGCGUUGUCCGGAAUUAUUGGGCGUAAAGAGCUCGUAGGCGGUCUGUCACGUCGGCUGUGAAAACUCGGGGCUCAACCCCGAGCCUGCAGUCGAUACGGGCAGACUAGAGUGCUGUAGGGGAGACUGGAAUUCCUGGUGUAGCGGUGAAAUGCGCAGAUAUCAGGAGGAACACCGGUGGCGAAGGCGGGUCUCUGGGCAGUAACUGACGCUGGAGGAGCGAAAGCGUGGGGAGCAAACAGG